GAGGCUUCACAUCAGUACUUUAUAAAAGCUAAAACUAAGUUGAUUAGCUUAUGCUUAUGUUAGUGAAGCCUAAAUAAACUGUUCCCCUCGCUAUCCAGAGCGGCGUUCUGUGUUGCAUUUGGACGUCGGGGAACUACAUUC
rfam:Populus trichocarpa isolate Nisqually-1 chromosome 1, whole genome shotgun sequence.